GGCUGCCAGGGCACUGCUUUCCCAGGAACCCAGGUCCCUUUCCAUGGCACUGUUUACAGCAUUUCCCAGUCUGUCCAUACAUCCAGGGUUGCCCCAUCCCAGAUGCAGAAUCCAGCACUUUCCCCUGGUGAACUUCACAUGGUUGGUGAUUGCCCAGACCCCUGAUUUGUGGAAGUGUUUCUGCAGGGCCUCUCCCUGCCCUGGAGGGACUCACCAGCUCCUCCCAGUUUUGUAUCAUCUGUGGACUUGCUCAGUAUUCCUCCCACUUCUGUGUCCAGAUCACUUUUGAAGAUGUUGAAGAUCAGAGGGCUGAGGAUGGGGCCCUGUGGAACCCACCAGUGACAGGUUCCCAGUCUGAUGUCACCCCAUUCACUGUAACCCUUUGUGCCUGACCCAUGACCCAGCUGAGCUGCUUGCCCAUCCCAUGAUGUGUUUAUCCAGCUGUGGGCUGCACAUUAGGUCCAGAAGGAUCCUGUGAGAGACGGUAUCAAAACAUUAACUGGCUUCCCUUGAUCAGCUGGGUGGGUCAUCCUGUCAAAAAAGGGAACCAGCUUGAUAAGCAGGACUUGCUUCUCAUGAAGCUGUGCUGGCUGUGACCAAUGACUGUGUUGCCUUUCAGAUGUUUUUCAGCAUCCCCAGAAUAAUCUUCUCCAUAACUUUAUCAGGCACUGGUCUGAGACUGACAAGCCUGCAAUUUCUCCUUGCCUUUGAAAAUUGGGACAAUGUUUGUCAGCUGGGACCUCUCUGGAAUCCCAAGACCAUUCAAAAAUCAUUGAGAGAGGUUUUGCAAUGACAUUAGCUAACUCUUUGUGAAUCCCAUCAAUGCCCUUAACCAUAUAGGGAUCCAGCUGGAGCAGCAGAUCUCACAAAAUUUCAGAGUCAGCUGGGGAAUGAUUAUUCUUGUAGUCAUGGUCCUUCAGCUGAGGGCACCGGUCUGUCAUCUGUGUUGAAGACAGAGGCAGAGAAUGCAUUAAACCCCUUUGCCUUGUCCCUCCCUGUAUGUGAGGUGACCAUUCUCAUCCUAUAAUGGGCUGAUGUUAUUUUUCCAAUGCAGAGUAGAUUGGCACUGUUGCUUUGAGUUUAUGCAAAAAGAGCAGUUCUUGAGGGGUUAUGAGUACUAUGCCAGUUGCACCUAAGGAAGCAGUCUAAUAUGAGGAAUGGAAACCACACACACAUUGUGGAAAUGACUUCAGAUCUCCUUUAUGCUGGAGACAUACCAAUUUGUCCACAACCAGCAUUAUUCAAUUGGGUUUUUUUGCUAUUUUUCCUCCCUGGGCAGCAGAAGAAGGUGAAGCAAGGCGCCAGAAACUAGCUCAGAGGUUAAUUUAGAGUGCAGAAUUCAGCUGUGAAACCACAGGUAGCAGAGAGGGAAGAAACUAUAGAGACCUUUAGAUUUGCCCAUCAAUUUGUCCAUCAUAGCUGCUGUAGAUUGAAAUAUUUGAGAAUCAAUGAAGUCUGGGCACAUCCCUGGAGCAGAAGAGGGAUGUUGUGGGUGUCUCACCCAUAGCAUGUCCACAGCAGCCUAACAGACCUACAGAGUUUGAUGCAGUCUGGACCAUCUGUUCAAGUGCAGCCUUUUAGGAGCAUCCAAGGAUCUAAGAAGGUGGAAUUUUGAUUGACAGAUUGAACAGCUGGAGGAAACAAAAAGAAGAGAAAUACAGUACAAAAAACCAGCAACUAUCACUUGGAAAGUUGGACCAGUCAAGCCUUGGAGGACCCCUUGUCGAUCAGGCUGGGCUUCUGAGCCAGAGGAAUUUACACAGACAAAUGACAGGCACUUGAAUUGCAAAUCACUGAUCCAAGGUCUUAUAGCCUUGAAGUUCAAGUCAGAUUAUCAGUGAAUAUUAGAACACGCACAUGUGAGACGGCCUUUACAAGCUUUAAGAUCAAAGAGUCACUGUGCAACCUUCAGAAUAAUAUUGUUCCGUCACUCAAGCAAGCAUUAGAAGGCUGGAAAAGUUCAGUCUUUCAUGCAAACUUUAGAACUCCUUUUCUCAUAAAGUGAUUUUGAACACAGAAAUCUUUUAUGGAGAAAAUCAAGCUCCUACUUAAAAAAAAAAUAAAUUAUUGUACUUUCUAAAGAAGAAAAAAAAUCCCCAAGUUUAGCAGUAUAUUUGCUGCAUAUAUUCUAAAAUUAAAAUAUCUUUUAAUAUGUCUGAUUUAAGCUUGUCUUUCCAGGUUUAGGUUCCAUAGCUUCCAGGGUCUUAGCAGCUGUGCUUUGCAUUAUCUCUUGUUUAAUGUUCAAAUGUGGUAUACCAUACAGAAAAAACCCAAACCAAAAAGUUCUGAGUUAAAGUGUUAGUAAGUCCUGUAGAACCCAUGAGAUCACUUGUUUAUUCAGUAUGCAGCAGGUACAGAAAUGCUUUGCUAGGUCAGGGUUGUAGAGUUCAAUGUAUUCUGGUUGAGUCUGCUGUCAACAUUGUACUGAGAUUUUUUUGUGUCCAGACUCAUUGUAUUUUUUCUACAGAGUUGGAAAAGAAAAGAACAUUGGACCACUUAUUUUUAUGGCAUGGUUACAAAUAUAUUAAACUUACAUAUAUAUCACAGCAGAUGGAGGAAAAUAUUUUCCCUGGUAGAGGAAUAUUAAUGUAUAUGGACAGUAUCUUUAGGAAUACAGGGUAGUACAUCAUAAAUUAGCCUUUUAACAUCUUUGUACCUUGAAUUUUCUCUGAAAGCUCAUGGUACUGAAUCUGAUUGCACAUAAACUACUGCAGGAUUAGAGUUUAAAUUGACUAUAGACAGUGUAGAUAAAUUACUAUACACUGUUAUCUCAAAUGUCAAAGUGUAGAAAUUGAAUCAUUUGGGAAUUAAUUUAAUAAAAUCAUAACCUCAUGGACUCAUAGAACCAUAGAAUGGUUUAGGUUGGAAGGGACCCUAAAGAUCACCUAAUUCCAAGCUGCCUGCCAUAGGCAAGGAUGGCACGCACCAGAUCAGGUUCAUUAGGGCCACAUUCUGGUCUUGAAUACUUCUAAAUGCUAACACUUUUAUGUUAUGGACUCAGUAUUUGGGGUGUUAAGUAACUCCAUUUCCAUGUAAAUUAUAACACCAAAGACUUUUUCUAAUACGGUCUUUUUUUAAUACUUUUCUUAUAUGAAAAAAGAAGCUUAGAUAUUUGUGGUUUCUCUUAAAGAAAAUGGAAACCACAGCAAGGGAUAACUAAAUGUAAUAAAGCAGGAGCAAGCCUAUAAUUUCUAUUGGCGAAGCAAUUAUUCUAUCCCCAAUUUUAUUAAUUGCUGACCUAUUGUCUCUCGGACUACCUAAUGGCUACUAAGUAGUCAGAAUUAGUUCCAGUGGCUGGCUGAGACUCCAAUAGCAAUUACUUAAUCAGAAGAUAUUCCUGGAUGUGUUUCUACCAGUAACAAUAUUCAGGGAGACUUACUGGAAUCAUUAUCCUCAUUACUGAUCUUUAUAUCUUUCCUUCAGAGUAUGGAUGAAUAUGUUUCCUUUCUGGAGCAUAAAACUCCAUUGCACUAGUCAUGCAAAUGCAUUCAUUCUUCCCUCUGUUAUCUUUGAGAAUAGCAGUAAAAGAAAUUAUAGCC